UAAUGACAACAUGUCCAACACUUGUUUAGUAUUUUUUAUAACAUAUAAAAAUGUAAAUGUGACGUGUGUAAAAUGUGAUAUAGUUUCCAUGGUUAAGGGUUUGAUGCA